GUGGGGUCUUCGAGCUUGCACGAGGGAGACAAACAGGUCUCACAAAUCUGCUGAAACCCGGAAGUGGUUUGACAAGCUUGCGAGAAGAAAAAAGGACAGCGUAUGUCAGUUUGUUGCUUGAAUAGGGUAAUACGUCAUGGCAAACUGGUUCAGACCGAGGAAACAACCCAACGCAAAUGACAUCAGCAGUGACUAGCCAUCGGGGAAAAGUACAAAACUGGGCACGCAGGGAGACAAGAAGCCAAAAGACAUUUCCUUAUUUUCUGCGAGACAGCCUUGAGACACGUUUGAAUGACGAGAUACGAUACUUCUAAUAAGGCAUUUUACCCAUUUCCCGUAUCGCGUUGAUGAAACGCAACAGGGCCUACACCACUCUCCGGGAAAGGUAACAAGAUUGGUGGCCUUGUGAAUGAAAGGACGUGCCCGCCAAAUGCUCUCCGUGCGUCACG